GACGAACGCUGGCGGCGUGCCUAAUACAUGCAAGUAGAACGCUGAAGAGAGGAGCUUACUCUUCUUGGAUGAGUUGCGAACGGGUGAGUAACGCGUAGGUAACCUGCCUUGUAGCGGGGGAUAACUAUUGGAGACGAUAGCUAAUACCGCAUAACAAUGGAUGACACAUGUCAUUUAUGUGAAAGGGGCAAUUGCUCCACUACAAGAUGGACCUGCGUUGUAUUAGCUAGUAGGUGGGGUAAAGGCCCACCUAGGCGAAGAUACAUAGCCGACCUGAGAGGGAGGUCGGCCAAACUGGGACCGAGAACAGGCCCAGACUCCCAAGGGAGGCAGCAGUAGGGAAUCUUCGGAAAUGGGGGGAAACCUGACCGCGCAACGCCGCGUGAGUGAAGAAGGUUUUCGGAUCGUAAAGCUCUGUUGUAAGUCAAGAACGGGUGUGAGAGUGGAAAGUUCACACUGUGACGGUAGCUUACCAGAAAGGGACGGCUAACUACGUG
rnacentral:rRNA from 1 species